rnacentral:rRNA from 1 species
AGAACGAACGCUGGCGGCAUGCCUAAUACAUGCAAGUCGAACGAACUCUUCGGAGUUAGUGGCGCACGGGUGCGUAACGCGUGGGAAUCUGCCCCUUGGUUCGGAAUAACAGUUGGAAACGACUGCUAAUACCGGAUGAUGACGAAAGUCCAAAGAUUUAUCGCCAAGGGAUGAGCCCGCGUAGGAUUAGCUAGUUGGUGAGGUAAAGGCUCACCAAGGCAACGAUCCUUAGCUGGUCUGAGAGGAUGAUCAGCCACACUGGGACUGAGACACGGCCCAGACUCCUACGGGAGCAGCAGUAGGGAAUAUUGGACAAUGGGCGAAAGCCUGAUCCAGCAAUGACCGCGUGAGUGAUGAAGCCUUAGGGUGUAAGCUCUUUUACCGAG